GAAUCCCGUCUUUGACACGGACUGCCAAGGCUUUGUGGUGCGCUCUCAAAGAGUCGAGUUGUUUGGGAAUGCAGCUCAAAAUGGGUGGUAAAUGCCAUCUAAAGCUAAAUAUUGGCGAGAGACCGAUAGCGAACAAGUACCGUGAGGGAAAGAUGAAAAGAACUUUGGAAAGAGAGUUAAACAGUACGUGAAAUUGCUGAAAGGGAAACGCUUGAAGUCAGUCGCGUUGGCUGGAAAUCAACCUUGCUUUUGCUGGGUGUACUUUCUGGUUGACGGGUCAGUAUCAGUUUUGACUGGUGGGCAAAGGUGCAGGGAAUGUGGCUCCCUCGGGAGUGUUAUAGCCUUGUAUCAUAUACAUCGGUUGGGACUGAGGAUCUCAGCACGCCGCAAGGCCGGGUUUCGACCACGUUCGUGCUUAGGAUACUGGCAUAAUGGCUUUAAUCGACCCGUCUUGAAACACGGACCAAGGAGUCUAACAUGCUUGCGAGUGUUUGGGUGGAAAACCCGAGCGCGUAAUGAAAGUGAAAGUUGAGAUCCCUGUCGUGGGGAGCAUCGACGCCCGGACCAGAGCUUUUGUGACGGAUCUGCGGUAGAGCACGUAUGUUGGGACCCGAAAGAUGGUGAACUAUGCCUGAAUAGGGUGAAGCCAGAGGAAACUCUGGUGGAGGCUCGUAGCGAUUCUGACGUGCAAAUCGAUCGUCAAAUUUGGGUAUAGGGGCGAAAGACUAAUCGAACCAUCUAGUAGCUGGUUCCUGCC
rnacentral:rRNA from 1 species